AUUGAACGCUGGCGGAAUGCUUUACACAUGCAAGUCGAACGGCAGCACGGGGGCAGCCCUGGUGGCGAGUGGCGAACGGGUGAGUAAUACAUCGGAACGUGCCCGGUCGUGGGGGAUAACGUAGCGAAAGUUACGCUAAUACCGCAUACGAUCUGAGGAUGAAAGCGGGGGACCUUCGGGCCUCGCGCGAUCGGAGCGGCCGAUGUCAGAUUAGGUAGUUGGUGGGGUAAAGGCCUACCAAGCCGACGAUCUGUAGCUGGUCUGAGAGGACGACCAGCCACACUGGGACUGAAACACGGCCCAGACUCCUACGGGAGGCAGCAGUGGGGAAUUUUGGACAAUGGGCGCAAGCCUGAUCCAGCCAUUCCGCGUGCAGGACGAAGGCCUUCGGGUUGUAAACUGCUUUUGUACGGAACGAAAAGGCUCUGGCUAAUACCUGGGGCUCAUGACGGUACCGUAAGAAUAAGCACCGGCUAACUACGUG
rnacentral:rRNA from 1 species